AUUUAAAACUCGAAAGGGUAUAUACACACUGCCUUUUCUACAUUUAUAGACAUCUCUACCUAUAUAAGACUUAAAAAAAGAUGUCCUUCGUUUGCCAAGAUGUGUGCACAGCCAACAAAAUCUCUCGGAACACUUGCAAAACAGCAGAAAAAAAAUUGUACAGCUAAACUUCUGAUUUCAGCGAGAAGAUAACCAUGGUUCCAUGCAAUAUCUGCAUCACCACCAUUAAGCUUAGUGACACAAGACUGACUGUCAAACAACACCAACACAUGCUUUAGUGCUUUACGGACUCAUCAACCGCACAUUUUAAUCCUUCCUUGAUAGCUAACCCUUCCGCUUCUUCGGUUGAUGUCACAGUAUGUUGAUUGCUUCCUGCAAAUGUUGGAAUAUGAGAGUAUUGUCCAUAGAUAAUAUCAGUUCUUGAAGAUGAAUUGGUCUCAUCAAAAGAACCAUCAGUGAUCAUUAGGAAAAGGGACUGUUUGAGUGCUUUAGGGAUGGUUAUAACAAUUGAUGGAAGUGGUGGAGUGGGCAUUGGUGUUGUAAACUGAGACCUCUAAGCAGAACUUAAAAUCUUUUGGAAUGAUGGUUUAAGGUUGACCUUAUGAAAAACGAUUUUGUUUCUAUGCAGCCAUAUAAAGUACAAGUAAGCUAUGGAAGCUACAUCAGAAAUGCACUUUAGAGAAAUUAGUAUUCCAGUUUGAAAAUCUAUAAGGCUUAAGUGACUAGCAAACCAAAUAUCAAAGAUCAUGGGACAAGAAAAUAAUGCCUGAGAUUAGGUUUCUCACUUUUUCUCUCUAUUCAACUGAGCAGUUCCAGAUCUAGAUCUAAAAGAAUACAUAGGAAGAAAAGUUUUACAAAGAAAAAGGUAAACAGAGAUGAUGACUGAGGAGAAGUUUAUUACUUAAUUGUACUUCAUUAAGUAGGCGACAAUGGACGAGGACCCAACAGUCCAGAUUUUUAUGCGGGCCUAAUAAAU
rnacentral:lncRNA from 1 species